AGUGAACGCUGGCGGUAGGCCUAACACAUGCAAGUCGAACGGCAGCACAGUAAGAGCUUGCUCUUACGGGUGGCGAGUGGCGGGCGGGUGAGGAAUCCAUGGGAAGCAAUUUUUCCGUGGGGAAUAACGUAGGAAAAUUAACACUAAUACCGCAUACGACUUAUGGGUAAAAUACGGGAAACUUGGACCUUUGGCCGAUUGAAUGAGCCGAUGUCGGAUUAGCUAGUUGGCGGGGUAAGGGCCCACCAAGGCAAGGAGCCGUAGCUGGUCUGAGAGGAUAAUCAGCAACACUGGAACUGCGACACGGUCCAGACUCCUACGGGAGGCAGCAGUGGGGAAUAUUGGACAAUGGGCGAAAGCCUGAUCCAGCCAUACCGCGUGGGUGAAGAAGGCCUUCGGGUUGUAAAGCCCUUUUGUUGGGAAAGAAAAGCAGCAGGUUAAUACCCCGCUGUUCUGACGGUACCCAAAGAAUAAGCACCGGCUAACUUCGUG
rnacentral:rRNA from 1 species